UUCUUGAUAAAUGAUAAUACAAUACUGAAGAUUCUAAAAUCGAAUUCAUUCAUGUAUCAAUAAUUAUUAUAUUAGUUGUGUUUACUGUUUAAUGUUUUGUGCCGUUUCCACCAUAUAGGCCCCUUCAGAAAAUAUUAAUAAUAAAUCUCCGUCUAAAUGUACUCCAGUAAAGAAUAUUCGAGAAAGAAAUCUUCAUUCAAGCUGCCAAUAGUGAAAAUGUUUAUUAUCAAAACGUCCAACAAACCAACAGCAGUUUCAAUGAGUAAUUUUGUCGAUCACUUUUAUGCUACAGAAAAACAGCAGUGAAGUGCUUUAUGAAUCAACUUGUUGUGCACAACUAGCUCAAUGGGUUGAAUCUUAAAAGCAACAAUUAAGAACAAGUCAGGAACGUUUUAAUAAAAAAUCAAAUGAGUUGAAAAAAAAAUUUAGCAUUCGUUUUUGACCACUUACCAACUAUGAACUUUGGAACAUAAAAGUAUAAAAGAUUUUUGAUAGUUUGAUGACAGUAUAAAAAGUGCUAUGAAAAUAAUAACUUUUUGUGAAACUUUGAAUCUGGAUAAUAAUUUCUCAGAUUUCCCUCUGUCGUCUCUUCGAGUAUUACGUAGAAAAAUGAAAAUAUUAUACAACAAAUAAGAUUACACAUAAGAACUGUUAUCCGCAAAUACUACCUCAUUCAAAUUUAGCAAAAUAUUUUAGCCGAUGAGCAUGACUGGACGAUAAUUAAUUCUAAGACUUCAAGAUGACCUUACCAACACCAAGGAAUUAAAAUAGAACAACAACAUGCUUACUACUAAACAUUAUUUAUAAAUUCAUUUUGUGAAUUAAAUCAAGCUUUAGACUCGAGAGAUGUCAUAAUUUAUAGAAAAUGAUGCAAGUAUGAAUCUUCAAUCGCCCUACAUUUGAUAACAUGAGGUAUCGAUGUUUAUUUAACAAAAGCCAAGCUCUGCUCUGAAUAACUACUUGAUACAAUCGAGGGAUAUGCUUAUAUACCGGAACAGAAUAUUGGUGAAUUUUCAUUUUUUUGUUAGUUUUUCAGAUUGAAAUGUCUAUAGUUAUGUAGUAUAGCCAUAAAUAAUAAUAUCAAUGGCAUAGUGCACAAGUAUGAUGAAUCAUUUUUUUUUAUAAUUUUAAACAUUAUUAUGUAUUUACUGAACUUAUGGAAAUUCUCUAGUAGCAGUAAUUUUUGAACAAGCUAUUAAAAGUGUUAUAAAUACACAAAUAAUAAUGUUUGAUCAGUAUUUUAAAAUUAUUUUUCUUCUUAAACAAUUAUUUUUCGCUCUGAUUUAUAUUUAACAAGUAUUUUUUACAUCACUGAAAAUUAUAUCAUGUGUUUAUCUAUUGCUAUACAUAACUCAUUUUCUUUGGGAAAAAAAGUGCUCUCAUCGCACCUGUGCACUACUUUUGAAUUGUGUUAAUACGUUCUUUGUAUGCUUUAAAUUAAUAAUUACAAUAACUGUUAAAUAAAUUAAAACUAAUGAAAACUACGAAUUUAUAUACAUAAAUUGCUGUCACGAUUAAAAACUAAACUGUUAAUUCAAUUU